UGGAGAAGCAGGGCACGUG
rnacentral:ncRNA from 2 species